AUGCAAACACACAAACACAAUGAGGCACAUCCUCAAACCCUCGAGAACACACAAACACACACGUACGUACGUACGCACACACACACACACACACCAACAGACACAAAAAAAAUGCAAACACACAGACACACACCCACACACAAACACAAGCACACCAUCUUUGCAAUAUCUCUCCAACGUUUCUUCAUAUCCUCCACUCACUCCACAGCCACGGCCCACCUCUACCUCCCAAAGUCCCUUGUGCCUAUUUUAACUUUUUGUCUCUCUCUUUCUCCCUCUCCCUCUCUUCCUCGCUCGCUACCUCGACUCUGUGUAUUCCUUUCUCUCGUCUCUCCGUCUCUUGCCUCAGCAGCAGCAGCAGCAGUCUGUGAGUUAAGUUUAGCAGAUGCACCUGAUGGCAGCAGCAUCAUCCAGGAGCUGCUGUCAGCCGUCUGCCUUCAUCAGGGCUCCUCACACAGCGCCGCUGGGCCAAGAAAUUCAAGCUGAAGAGAUCAGAGGGCAUGAGGAAGAGGAGGAGAAGGAGAUGGAAGAGAAGGAGGGGGGAGGAGGAGGAGAAGGAGGAGGGUGAGGAUGAGGAGAUGGAAGAGGAGGAGGAGAAGGAGGAGGAAGAAAAGUAGGAGGAAAGGAAGGAGGAGGAAGAGGAGGAGGAGGAAGAGAAGGAGGAGGAUGAGGAGAUGGAAGAAGAGGAGGAGAAGGAGGAGGAGGAAGAGGAGGAGAAGGAGGAGGAGGGGGAACGAGUAAGAGGAGGAGGAGAAAGAGGAGGAGGAGAUGGAAGAGGAGGAGGAGAAGGGGGAGGAGGAAGAGGAGGAGAAGGAGGAGGGGUGAACGAGUAAGAGGAGGAGGAGGAAGAGGAGGAGGGAGAGGAGGAGGAGGAGGCCUGAUUUUCUCUAAGCGGACCAGGGCUGGGUAUCUCUAGUCCUUAUCCUCUCUAGAGCAAGCAGAAUGGUAGUGUCCAAAUAACGCUGGUCAAACCAGAAUCAGGAAAUAAGGAUUCCAGCUAUUUUCUCUGAGCUCUUCGGUCCAUGUGUCACUUAUCAACGUGUCACUUUUUCACUCUAUGUGUCACAUGCGCACCUUGUGUGACAUAUGUAAAGCGUAAGGUGUGUGUGUGAUAGACAGCAAUGUUCUGGAAUAAACGUCUCGGCGAGACAAUGAUUCCAUUCUAAUGCCUAAACAUCUCGUUUCCUUCUACUCACAGGACACUUCACAAACUAUCUCAAGUGUUCACUUCACUCCUGUGGAAGCCAGAAAAUAUGUGUCUGCAAAGCACUUUUGCAGACACAUGCCCCCGUCACACCUGGUCAUAAUUCCAUUAUGAUUGUGGCAAUGAAAUGAAGCUUUCAUCAAGGCCCGCAGACAGAAGGCAGAAAAGCUAUUAUUUCUCUCAUAUUCUUAGAUAUAGCGUUGCUUAUAACAUUAUGAUAUUAGGGUGCUUUGUACAAAAAAAGUGAGUGAUAAGUCUUAGUGGGUAUUUCCUAGUCCAAGAUGUUGACAUGUUUAACAGCCAUGGCAUUGGCUAGAUGACAUGAUUUGCUUUUAGUCCAGCAAUUACAUUUUAUGGUUUGAUUAGGAGCAAGCGGCAGAAUUUACAUGUCAUCAUUUAAUGAUUGGUUCUAUGAUAAUGUUGUUGUCAUGGGGUCGUAGAUCAUAUCCAGUCAAAAUGUGUUCAACUCCAGCACUUAAGCUGUCACUUAGAGACGGCUGGGCCAUCCAGUUCUGCCCUUGAUCGAACUCUGAGUCUAUUAGACACACACGCAGUACCUAGAUUACGGUUUGAAAUUUGUUCGAGGGAAUAUAUGCUCACAAACGAUUUUAUUUCCAAAACUUUCAAAUGACUGGAGUUGCACAUUCUGAUAAAGCCCCUCGUAAGAGCGCCUUCUUUAGGAAAAGUACAGGUCAGGUUCUGUCCGAGUGCAAAGGGUUUAGAGACAGAUCAGCAAACCUCAAACUGCGACACAAAGCAAUUGUGGCCAUUGAACGUGGUCCAGUUGCAAACUUUGUUCCUUUGUGAUUGCUGAUUCAAAUUGGAGUACAAAGUUGAACAUGCACGCUUGUUAAUUUUCAAGUUAAACAGCCUCCCUUGCUCUUGUCCACUUAGCGAUCAGACAACCACUACCACCAAUACCAUCAGACGCAUCAAAGGCAUUUCCAAUGAUUACCGCGCCCCCAUUAACGCACAGAGCUUAGUUUGAGGCCUGCGCGUCCUUCAUAUUGAACACAUCCAAUAAAUCCUCCUUAAGUGAUUGCAACCUUAAAACGAUUCUCUUCCUAAAUGAAUCCCAGGGCUGCGUCUUGCCUUUUCAGCGGAGGGCACCCAUGAAUCAAACAAUUAAGGGGGAAAAUAGACCCGGGUCAGCUGAUGCAGGCCUCCAGUUCACCUCCACCCACGCACCCACACCCCUCCACCAACACCAUCCCCCCCCUUUCUCGCCUCAAACCUACAGGAAAACAAGCAGGACAGACAAUUUCUUUCAAUUAGUCCAAACGGGUCAGCCCAAUAAAUUUCAGUUUGUUCCCCUCGACGCAAAGGCCCUGUUGCAUGUCCCGCGCAAAAUGAAGACUAAUGGGCUAUUGUAGAGCGGCUGAGCCCCUGAUUCCGUAUCAGUACACCACCCUCGCACCCUCGCACCCUCCCAUUCUCCUUUGCUUCUUUCUUUCUUUCUUUCUUUCUUUCUUUCUUUCUUUCUUUCUUCGUCUCCCCCCUCUUCUCUUUUUUCUCUCUUUCGUUCUCCUCCCCCACCUCCAUCACCCCCUACACAGCUAAGUGAGCCAGUGCUGACCAGGCGCCACGACAAAUGUUUAAUACAUUUAUUCACGACCUGCAUUCAUUUUCUGUUUUAAGCAUUAUUCCUGAGUAGUUGCGUGGCGUAGGGGGGUGUGUGUGGGGGGGGGGAGUGCUAUUCAUCACUUUGUGACAACAGCCAUGGACGUGACCAUCGUUCAAUGUCUGUAGCAGCUCCAACGGCGGUAGGCAAGGCACCGUAUUAUAACUUUCCUCCAGCGUUUUCAGAAAUAUAUAAACACCCAGCAUGCACCGGGGCCCUGUGAUUACCA
ensembl:lncRNA